rnacentral:precursor_RNA from 10 species
CUUGGCCUUACUAACCUUGUGAUUUCUGUUCGUCAGUGGUGGAUUGCUAGAUAUAAAUCAACUUAUCAGCAGUUGUACCACUGAUUUGCAGAGAAAACAGCCAAACUAACAGCACUGU